rnacentral:rRNA from 1 species
AUUGAACGCUGGCGGCAUGCUUUACACAUGCAAGUCGAACGGUAACAGCACUUCGGUGGCUGACGAGUGGCGAACGGGUGAGUAAUACAUCGGAACGUGCCUAGUAGUGGGGGAUAACUACUCGAAAGAGUAGCUAAUACCGCAUGAGAUCUAAGGAUGAAAGCAGGGGACCUUCGGGCCUUGCGCUACUAGAGCGGCUGAUGGCAGAUUAGGUAGUUGGUGGGAUAAAAGCUUACCAAGCCGACGAUCUGUAGCUGGUCUGAGAGGACGACCAGCCACACUGGGACUGAGACACGGCCCAGACUCCUACGGGAGGCAGCAGUGGGGAAUUUUGGACAAUGGGCGCAAGCCUGAUCCAGCAAUGCCGCGUGCAGGAUGAAGGCCUUCGGGUUGUAAGCUGCUUUUGUACGGAACGAAAAGCCCUCUUCUAAUACAGGAGGGUCAUGACGGUACCGUAAGAAUAAGCACCGGCUAACUACG